rnacentral:siRNA from 1 species
UCUCGGGUCAACGGGGCAUGAG